ACCUUUCCCGAUCCUCUGUCUCUCCCUCUCCACGGCAAGACCCAACAGACACCUUCUUCAGACCACCGAUUUGCCACAAACUUCUUCAGACCAUCGAUUUCGUGGCUUUCCUACACCCAACCCAUCCGGCCUACCUUUCCCGAUCCACAAACUGACCACCGAUUUGCCACAAACUUCUUCAGACCAUCGAUUUCGUGGCUUUCCUAUUGUCUUUAAUUAGGGAAACACUCAUAGAAAUUAAAAUUCUACAGGUUUUGUAAGAAAGUGGAGAUGUAUUGAAGAGCCUCCCAACCUUCAAAAUCUGACAACAAUCCGGUUUUGCUUUACCUUCAGUGUAGUUAUUAUAUCAAAGAAUGGAGAUUGGAGAGCAAAAUCUGAAUCCCAGCGCUAAAAUCAAAGAAUCUGCAAUUGAAGCCAGCCUUCUUUGAAGAGCAAAUUCUAAACCCGAGGUUUAAAGGAAAGAAAUGAGAUUUUAGAAGGAGAAAGCUUGGGUCAAAAUUGUCUAAUUGCAGUUGCUAUUGGCUUAUGUGUAAAUUAAAUGUCUAGAAAAAAGAUAGAUGUGGCAAUAGUGUUUAUUGAAAUUCUUGACGCAUUGAAUGUUUAGGAGCACGAUCUCCAACAAUACAGUAGAGCGAAAAUUAGAUUCGUGUAGUGAGGUUGAUUUACAAUUAAUAUGAAGUUGUAUGUUUUUA